GAACGCUGGCGGUGCGCCUUAUGCAUGCAAGUCGAGCGAAGCUUUUCAGUAGUUUACUACAGAAAAUGACUGAGCGGCGAACGGGUGAGUAACGCGUGAGCAAUCUACCUUAGUUACAGGGAUAGCCCGAGGAAACUCGGAUUAAUACCUGAUAUUCUUUAUUUCUCGCAUGAGAAUAAAAGGAAAGGUCAGCCGAACUAAGAUGAGCUCGCGUUCUAUCAGCUAGUUGGUGAGGUAAAAGCUCACCAAGGCUACGACGGAUAGCUGGUCUGAGAGGACGAUCAGCCACACUGGGACUGAGACACGGCCCAGACUCCUACGGGAGGCUGCAGCAGGGAAUAUUGCGCAAUGAGCGAAAGCUUGACGCAGCGACACCGCGUGUGGGAUGACGGAUCUAGGUUUGUAAACCACUUUCAGGAGGGAAGAAAAUGACGGUACCUCCACAAGAAGCCCCGGCCAA
rnacentral:rRNA from 1 species